GUUGUUCUAUAUUUAAAUUUUAGGAACCCAGUAGACAUGGUGAUGCACUGUGGGUGAAAUAUGAUGAAUUGCCAGAAGAAACCAAAGUAAAGAUUGAAGGGAUGAAAGUAAUGGUUAGAUGGUUGUUGGGAUUGAAAACAGCAGUACCAUCUGCAACUUCAACUCUUCGUUUAUUAACAAGUGUAAUCUUGCAUCAUGGUGAUCUUAUGGAAAAAGGACAUGUUUCCCCCAUGGAAAAGUCUUGGUUAAGAUAUAUGGCUGCUUCAUGUAUAUUGAAACUUUGCCAAGAACCGCUUUAUGCUGAAGCAAUGGCAUUAGAACAGUUUCAGACAUUGGCAUUUGUUAUAAAUGUAAGUAAUUCAUAAACUAUUCAU